rnacentral:rRNA from 1 species
CAGCCGCCGCGGGAAUACGUAGGUGGCAAGCGUUAAUCGGAAUUACUGGGCGUAAAGCGCACGCAGGCGGUUUGUUAAGUCAGAUGUGAAAUCCCCGAGCUUAACUUGGGAACUGCAUUUGAAACUGGCAAGCUAGAGUCUUGUAGAGGGGGGUAGAAUUCCAGGUGUAGCGGUGAAAUGCGUAGAGAUCGGGAGGAACAUCAGUGGCGAAGGCGGCCAUCUGGGACAACACUGACGCUGAGGCACGAAAGCGUGGGGAGCAAACAGGAUUAGAUACCCCGGUAGUCCCUGUCUCUUAUAC